CAGCCGCCGCGGUAAUACGAAGGGGGCUAGCGUUGUUCGGAUUUACUGGGCGUAAAGCGCACGUAGGCGGACUUUUAAGUCAGGGGUGAAAUCCCGGGGCUCAACCCCGGAACUGCCUUUGAUACUGGAAGUCUUGAGUAUGGUAGAGGUGAGUGGAAUUCCGAGUGUAGAGGUGAAAUUCGUAGAUAUUCGGAGGAACACCAGUGGCGAAGGCGGCUCACUGGACCAUUACUGACGCUGAGGUGCGAAAGCGUGGGGAGCAAACAGGAUUAGAUACCCCGGUAGUCCCUGUCUCUUAUAC
rnacentral:rRNA from 1 species